rnacentral:rRNA from 1 species
GACGAACGCUGGCGGCGUGCCUAAUACAUGCAAGUCGAGCGAAGUUUUUUGGUGCUUGCACCGGAAAAACUUAGCGGCGAACGGGUGAGUAACACGUAAAGAACCUGCCUCAUAGACUGGGACAACUAUUGAAAACGAUAGCUAAUACCGGAUAACAGCAUUAACUGCAUGGUUGAUGUUUAAAAGUUGGUUUUGCUAACACUAUGAGAUGGCUUUGCGGUGCAUUAGCUAGUUGGUGGGGUAAAGGCCUACCAAGGCGACGAUGCAUAGCCGACCUGAGAGGGUGAUCGGCCACACUGGGACUGAGACACGGCCCAGACUCCUACGGGAGGCAGCAGUAGGGAAUCUUCCGCAAUGGGCGAAAGCCUGACGGAGCAACGCCGCGUGAGUGAAGAAGGAUUUCGGUUCGUAAAGCUCUGUUGUUAGGGAAGAAUGA